rnacentral:lncRNA from 1 species
CCUGUCUUUUGGCUUGUAGGAUUGCCCUUUGUGUUCAUUUUCACGUGAUGUCUCCCAGACCAAACUCCUGGAGGAAAGCAGCUGAGGUCUUGAGCUCCACCCUUCAUGCGUAUCCCCUGCCUGUGGCCUAUUGUCUGUCUCCUUUCAGCACCAACGGCAAAGACAUUUUAUCCUGUCUCUUGAGCUAGAAUUGGCAUGUUUUCUUCUCGAAAUUUUUGCCUUGGCCUAGAAUUUUGGACUCUGUUUAGAAUUCCAAAUUGAAAAUAAGUCAGGAGAUCACUGACAAGCUUAGCUGAGUCGGGCAUGAGGCCAUUUCUGAGGCACGUGGGUCUAUUUCACAAUAAUAUGCCAUUAAUGACAUGGACAAGGUCAUCAAACAUUUUAUGGAUGAAACAGCUUUCUCAAACUGCUCUCACGUCUGACUUCUCCCAGUCGUCUACUCAGAGAGGACAAGCCAACUCCGUCUGUUUAUCCUCCCGGGACCCAGCCAGUGCCGCCAUUCCUAUAACUGCUUCUGAACAUCCCAGAUGGGAGGGCCUGAAAGGGGACCCUUCUCCUCAUCAAAACUGCCCACAGCGUGGCAGAAGCUAUGGUCCAUGGCUGCUCUGGCAAUUCAGAAGAGCCCCUUCAGUGUCCACCUGGAGCAAACUACCCAUAAAAAGGUUCCGAGCCACUCAGAAUCCAGAAUCAGGUUUGUCAAGAUGACGGAGCACCAAGCUUUCAGUGGAGGUUGAGCUCAUUCACGGGAACGGUCACCAAUGAAAUGUCAACAUCAGACCCAAGAGCCAUUUCUCAAGUAUCAUCCAGAAUCAAGCCUUGGGAUGUCAUUUCUAUCAACCCUGGACAUUUUCUGUCUGCAAUUAACAAUGGAUUCAUAGGCCAUAUCUCAUUCCAACCCCUUUAAAGCAGGUUGGACGCUUAGGUUUAUAAACAUUUAGUCAAAAAGGGAUUGUAACCAGGCCUGUAUUCCUGAGCACAAUCCAGGGUGCAGUAUCGUGGACUAACUCAGUAGGGAACAGGUGAGAUGAGAAGGUCUCCAGCCUGGACACUAGUCUUGACCCCCUUGGCCACCAACAAGCUGAAUGGUGCUGCGUUCGGGAUACACACCCCUGUGGGGAGGGGCAUUAUGAUGAGAGCUCUAAGACUCUCAAAUUGUGUGGUUCUGAUCAUUUCUCCCUCAUGAUAAAACUGUGGAAAGCAUACUGAAUUCCUUCUCUUUGGGAGGUUUGAGCCAGGCUGCUGUUGAACAUCACAAGUCAGAUUUUUCCUAUACAGUGUUGGCAUGGGGACGCGCCAGAACUGCCGAGGCCAAGGAAAUCCUGUAGUUUGAAGAAGUUUUAGUUUGUUAUCAUCUCUUUCUAGUAGUAAAAGAAAAAAGAUGUUAAAAAUCUCGUCAAUAUCCUGGAGGGUUUUCGUAUAAAUAUUUCAACACAAUAAGAAUAUAUAAACUGGAUAUAUAUUUUUUACACAUUUUACUUAAUUUUAUAUAAUGGUUGCUUAAGGUG